rnacentral:lncRNA from 1 species
AAGCCUUUGUUUGGCAAUCAAAAAUAAAGUUUUUCAAAAAAGGAGUUCUCUUGUGGCCCAAUGGGUUAAGGAUCCUGUGUUGUCAUUGCUGUGGCGUGGGUCAAUCCCUGGAUGGGGAACUUCCACAUACUUCAGGUAUGGCCAAAAACAAUUUAAUUAAUUAAUUAAUUAAUUAAAAAGAAAUUAAAAAAAUAAAGUUCAUAAUGCCAGUAAAUUUAAGAGAGGUAGAAUAAUUUAAAAAUCUUUCUAAAUAGCAGGAUUGGUAAGGGAAACAUGGUGAGAAUCCUAAGUCUGUAGAAGGAAAGCAUAGUUAUUUCUUACAAAUCGUUUCUUCUGUAAACGUGGUGAAAAUCUUGAGAAAAAUCUAGUUCAUUUGAAUAUGUUCUAGCAAGAUUCCUUCAGUAACAAACCCAUUCAUUUGUCCUGUUUUACGGUCCCCAAAGAAUCUCACACACAUCAUUUCACUUUCUUACAACUACUAUCAGAGAGGGACAGGGAAGGGGUUGAUUAAUUCCACUCUAUAGAUAAGGAAAUCAGCUUUACAGCCAUCUAAGGCAGGAAGUGCCAGAGCUAGGAUGCAAUCUGGGACUCCUGACUCCAAAUCCCAGGUUGUUUCCACCCCAUCAUUUUUAGUACAGAUUAAGAGUGUGUUGUUCAGAACAGCCAGAAAGUGGGGACAAUCCCCUGUCAAGUGGUGAAUGGAUAGGCACAGCCUGGCCAGUUUAUAUAGAGGAAUACUGUUCAGCAACAGGCUACAACACGGAUGGAUCUCCAGAGCAUUAUGCUGAAUGAAAGAAGCCAGAUGAGUGGUUGCCUGGGGCACAGGAGGGUGGGAACAAAGGUCGAUUGCAAGUGGGCACAGAGAUCUUUGGGGAUUGCUGGAAAAGUUCUACAAGUGGAUUGUGGGGACAGUCGCACAACUUGGUAAAUUUACUGAAAAUAAUCGUUGGACUUCACACUUAAAGUUGAGUGAAUUUUAUGGGAUGUCACCUGCAUCUGAAUAAAUCACUUAGAAAAAAAAUAGAAGGAGCACGUCUCUCGUUGACAGGUGGUGCCAUGUUUACAACCUUGCUGAGGUAGCCCCGCUCAACAAUGGAAUCCUCUGGCUCAGAGGAGAGCACUUGGUUCUUGUGCUGGCAGCACAUGAUUUAUUAGUUUUUUGCUCUGCAGAUAAGACCAUUAAAAGCAGAUGAUGACACAGCAUGUAAGGGCGGCAGCAUGCUUGCUGCCUUCACCUAUCUUGGUGGCCCUCGAGCCCAGACAAACAGCCUGCUCUGCCAACUUCUGACAUUUUCUUUUCUUUUUUCUUUUUCUUUAAUUUAUAUUGGAAUGUAGUUGACUUACAGUGUUGUGUUAGUCUCAGGUGUACAGCAAAUUGAGUCCAUUAUACAUAUACAUAUAUAUCCGUUCCUUUGCAGAUUCCUUUCGAUGUAGGUUAUUAGACAGUAUUGAGCAGAUUUCCCUGUGCUGUACAGGAAGUCCUCCAAUCUCUGACAUUUUCAUGCUGGUGGUAAUGACUUUCCCACUUUAUAUCUUAUUAUCAUCACUAUUUACUAAACACACAAAAACAUACAGAUAGAAGAGCUAAAAAGGAAGCUUUUCUGUCCCACUGAGGGCAUAAAUUGACAAGGAAUCAUGUUAUUGCAGACUGGGUCCCUUGAAAAGCAGCUCUGAUUCCCUGGAGGUGCAGUGGAAGGGAAACAAGGAGAGAUGGGGGAUGGCAUUCCAGGGGGAAUCAGAGAAGGCAAAUGCCCCAAAGGCUGUGGAUCUCACAAACACGGGGGCACUUCUGAAAGAGAGGUCAGUGAGGAACCGCUGUGAGUCUGUGCAACAAGGCAGUGCCUUCGAUUUCCCGAAAAAAUUGCCAGUAAAAAAGCUUAGAAAUGAGACACCAACCUCGAGCACUGAUGGGUCCCAUCACUGGACACACCAAAUACCCAUAUUCCUGAAAUUUGACACUGAAUUUACCUUUUCUUUCUUCCUUUUUUUUUUUCCGGCUGUGCCCAUGGCAAGGGAUCAAACCUGUGCCACAGAAGUGACAAAGCCAAACCCUUAACCAUUAGACCACAAGGGAACUCCUGAAUUUACCUUUCUAGCCCGUCUUCACAGCAGGAUCUCAGCUCUCCUGCCCUUUUAGUUACCACCUUCUUGCAGGACUGGUGUUUUCUCAAGGGGCGGUUGUCAUAAACCUGAGGAGGGAGGCUCCCCAGGGAGCAGAUCCAAGUCUUGGGUGCUGACUCUCCACAUCACUCUUCCUGAUACACACGGAGCAGACCUGUCCAAAACCAUAAAUUGACACUUGGGGCACUACUAAAGGAGUUGCCGAAAUGAACCAAAGCCUUCCAGUCCAUCCAAGUAACAUUUUCUUUAUUAGGACUUGAUACAACACAUACCAAAUCUGCUCCCGGUUUCAUAAGUGAAACUGUAUUUCUGAUCUGCCUUAUAAGAUGGAAAACCUGGUGGAUGAAAUUCAGCUCUUCUUUCCUCAUUUCGGACUUUUUUCUGGAAAUCAUCUUUUGAUCAUUGCCAAUUUAACAUGAUCAGUUUAUCUUUCCAUUUCAUGAGGCGCAUUUUCACAUGUUUGAAGCAGUUCUGCAAAGGCGAUUUGAACCCACUACACACAAGGCAAAUGGGAGGCUGCUCUAUUAAAGAUUUCUCUCUUUCAUCCCAUUCGUCUUUUAUUUUGGUACAUUUUGAAAUGACAAACUAGGAAACUUCAAUAUGAGAAGCAGCUUGGACUUAGGGAACGUAACACUAAUUAUCACUUACUAGCUGGGUAGGCUUAAAGAGACUUUUUAACCUCUCAGAACCUCAGAACCCAUUUUCACCCUUUGUAAAAUGGGAGGCAGAGUAUCUAUUUCAUCAAGUUGCCUCACUCGCAGCAAGUGGCAGCUACGCACAAUUAUUCAACGGAGAAUCAGAUUACUAUGUUAGACUGCCUGGCACAUUGUACGUGAAAAUGUUUUGUAAACUAUAAACAUUAUACAAUGGCAAGAUAUUAUUUUUAUAAAUAGCUCUAAUAAUUUUAAAUUUGACUCAUGCUCACGACCGCAGGCUGACAUAGCUGGGAGGUUUGCUUGGCUGCCAAGCCUGAGAGAGAAGACUUGAUAAGGGUAUUUGCCAGUUCUCAUCUGAUCCGGGUGGCCUGUUUGGUUGUUGUCCGUGCAGAGCCUGACCUUUGCCUGACUUCCCCCCCGGGAGCCUGUCUCCAGCUAUCUGAGAAGCUUCCAGCAGACAGACUGAGUGAAGUCGGAAGCCUCACUUCCUUAGGGGUCAUUGCAUUUGCUGGGCAGCCUUAUGACCAGCCAACUGUAGGAAAUGUUGAAAACCCAAAUCCUUCUGUGUGAGGGGGAAACAGGUUAGAUUUGGUUCAGGAAGCAACCUGGCACCUGUACAGUGAGAGAGAAGAGCUAAGCC